GAACCCUUGAAGAUGUUCCGGCAAAAUCUGAAACAAUGCACAAGCAGAAAUGGGUUGACUGAAGAAAGUUUAAAGGGAACUAAGGAUUCAAACUUCCAAGAGUGUUAUGGCUAUACUUAUGUUGACCGAAAUUUAAAAAUUAAUGAAAAACCUGGUUCGAAUUACGACUAUUUGUGAUCAUGACUCAGCAAAGAUAUGGAUUACAUAACCUAAGAUCCAUUUGAGUUAAUGUAUAAAAGUGAUAAAGAGAAUUACAUUUGCAUAUAAUCAGUCGAAAUUGUUGUUUAAUAUCAUGACACAAGCUCCCUUCUUAAAAGACGUUGCUGCAUUAGUAAAAUUUUUACAAUUUCGAGCAGCAUCAUUUGAUCGAGUGCUGCAAAAGUUAAAUGUAAUUUCACUCGGAAACGGCAAAUGUUCCGUCGAAAUGAAAGUAGACGACGAUCAUGUUGAUCAAACAGGAAAGUUACAUAUUGGUUUAUCGAGCACACUUGUUGAUUGCAUUUCCGGAUUUGCGUUGAUGUCGCAACUUCCCAAUAUGCAUGUUACCACCGAUAUAAGUUUAAGAAAUUUUAACGGCCCUAAAACCGGCAAUGAAAUUGUAAUUGACGGUCAUGUCAAUAAAGUUGUGGAUAAUUUGGCGUUUCUAGAAGUUAAAAUUAAGGAUAAAGCAACAGGGGAGCUGUUACUUCAAGGAACACAUACGAAAUAUGUGCUUGUAAAUUGAAUAAAUUGUUAUUUAGUAGUUAUUCCA